rnacentral:tRNA from 1 species
CGGGAUGUGGCGCAACUUGGUAGCGCGCUUGGUUUGGGACCAAGAGGCUGGGAGUUCAAAUCUCUUCAUCCCGACCA